UAGCCUAGGUUAAGGCUAUGGAUUGUCAAUCCGGAGACGGCGGGUUCGAUUCCCGU
rnacentral:tRNA from 1 species